GGAUUAGGCAUGCAAGUCGAACGAGGGAGUAUCCCGAAAGGGAUACAAAUCGAGUGGCGUAAGGGUGAGUAAUGCAUUGAUAACCUACCUUUAAGAUGAGGAUAACGACGUUUCGAGCAAUCGGAACUACCGAAAGGGUUGCUAAAACUCAAUAAUACUAUUGAUACCUCGGUGUUGAUAGUCAAAAGUUUGGAGCCGUAAGGUUCCAUUCGCUUAGAGAGGGGUCAAUGUCCUAUCAGCUAGUUGGUGGGGUAAUGGCCUACCAAGGCAAAGACGGGUAGUCGGCCUGAGAGGGUGGUCGGCCACACUGGGACUGAGACACUGCCCAGACUCCUACGGGAGGCUGCAGUCGAGAAUCUUUCGCAAUGCCCGAAAGGGUGACGAAGCGACGCCGCGUGUGGGAAGAAGGCCUUCGGGUUGUAAACCACUGUCGGGAGUUAAGAAAUGUAAGGGUGUUAAUAGUACCCUUACUUGACUAAGGCUCCGGAGGAAGCCACGGCUAACUCUGUGCCAGCAGCCGCGGUAAUACAGAGGCGGCAAGCGUUGUUCGGAAUUAUUGGGCGUAAAGAGCACGUAGGCGGCCUUGUAAGUCAGUUGUGAAAGCCUUCUGCUUAACGGAAGAACAGCAUCUGAUACUGCAGGGCUAGAGUGCGAAGGGAGAGUGGAACUUCUGGUGGAGCGGUGAAAUGCGUAAAUAUCAGAAGGACACCGGCGGCGAAGGCGACUCUCUGGUCCGUAACUGACGCUGAGUGUGCGAAAGCUAGGGAAGCAAACGGGAUUAGAUACCCCGGUAGUCCGUGCCGUAAACGAUGGGCACUAAGUAGAGGGGUUUU
rnacentral:rRNA from 1 species